rnacentral:rRNA from 1 species
GAUGAACGCUGGCGGCGUGCCUAAUACAUGCAAGUCGAGCGAACGGACGAGAAGCUUGCUUCUCUGAUGUUAGCGGCGGACGGGUGAGUAACACGUGGAUAACCUACCUAUAAGACUGGGAUAACUUCGGGAAACCGGAGCUAAUACCGGAUAAUAUUUUGAACCGCAUGGUUCAAAAGUAAAAGACGGUCUUGCUGUCACUCAUAGAUGGAUCCGCGCUGCAUUAGCUAGUUGGUAAGGUAACGGCUUACCAAGGCAACGAUGCAUAGCGGCCCUGAGUGGGUGAUCGGCCAGUUUGGAACUGAGGCACGGUCUAGACUCCUACGGGAGGCAGCAGUAGGGAAUUUUACGCAAUGGGCGAAAGCCUAACGGAGCAACGCCGCGUGAGUGAUGAAGGUCUUCGGUGCGAAAAACUCUGUUAUUGGGGAAGAACAUAUGUGUAAGUAUCUGUGCACAUCUUGACGGUACCUAAUCAGAAAGCCACGGCUAACUACGUG